GUUUUUUAACAUCUCUUGCCAAUUGAUUCAUAUACCUCAUAACUCAGCCAUGCAUCCUAAGUAAUCCUGUGUUUUUCAGUGACCCUCAAUAUGGGGAAAUGUAAAAAAUAUUAUUAUUUAAAUUGCAAAGUUUAAAUUCCUUUUAAGAAAAAUUUUAGGUAAAGAAAGAUGCUACCUCUCUGAAUCCAGAAACUGAACUGUUUGGAGAAGACACCAUGAAGAUGCCUCCAGACCACAACCUGCAGGAAAAGAUCAAGAAUGAACUUUCAGUGUGGUUGAUUGAACAUUUAUUUGUAUUUAUACUUUCAUGCCAAAGGGGACUGCCCCUUAACUGGCUUUUUCAAUGUGUCCAGUGAUUAUUGGUUUUGUUCUUUUUUAUCCUCUUAUCAUCAAAUUAUUGUAAUCUUUAAAUUGAUUAUGUUUUCAUGAUCCUUUGGGGGAAAAUUUUUUUUUCUCAACCAGUAUCAUACGGUGAAAUGUAAAAAUGGAGAUUUGAACCCCAGACUUCAAUCCCCAGAAGUCCUUGCUAGCUCCCAGAAUUCUCUCUAAUCUCCCUGAGGACAAGAUCACAAAUUAUUAUUUAAAGGAGCUUUCCACCUACUGAGCUCUCUUCCUACUUCCACUGUGGAGCACACACGGCUCUCCACCUAGCAGGCAAGAUUCAUGGAAGUCCAUUGGCAAGACAAAAGUCAAGAUAACUAAUGAUAGCUCAGGAUGUACUGGAUGACCUUGUAGUCUUUCCUGUCUGACCAAGCUCUAAGUGCUCCACAGAGACUGCUUCAGUUGCCUCUAUGGCCGUUGGAACAAACUGUUCUAUUCUACCCAUUCCACUGGAGGAAAUCUUCACAUGCUUGAAGCAGACAUUUCUGUUUCACUAAUGUGUUUAAGACCUAUAGGUUACCUUCAACUUGAUUUAGCAUGUCUGCCAAGAUAGCUUUACCAGGAUAUGGUUGCUGUGCAUGCUACAGCUUCUUGGAAACACAGAUCGCUCCUGCUCCAGCUGGCCACCUCAGCUCCGGGCCAGCUCUUACUCCUUGCCUCUCUCUUGCUCACCCUGCCCAUCUGAUCCUGACCCCAGCAACUCUGGCCUCUGGCCUCCGACCCAGAUGCCUCAUCACCCUAGGCCAAGCCCCAGGACCCAGACUGCUGGUAGCAGACCCAAUUUCUUCAGGAUCACAAACCAGCUGUGGAUCAUGGGCAGAUAUGAAGUGGAAAUGGAUCUCAUUUUUGUUAACAUUUUGGAGGUCCCAGCAAGAUCCAAAGUCCCAGUUGCCUGAGCCUUCCUACUAAAGAGGACCCCAAGACUUGAGGUACCCCAACAACCCAUUUGGGGUUGAGUCAGGAGUCUGGUUAGCAGAGGGGCCAAGUAAGUGGCUCUCAGAGAAAGGACUCAGUCUCCUGUAUUUGGGAGUGACCCACUCUUUAAUUAAGGGGAUAUUAAGU
rnacentral:lncRNA from 1 species